CCUACGGGUGGCAGCAGUGGGGAAUAUUGCACAAUGGGGGAAACCCUGAUGCAGCAACGCCGCGUGAAGGAAGACGGUUUUCGGAUUGUAAACUUCUGUUCGUAGUGAAGAAUACUGCCGGUAGCUAAGGCUCCCUCCCCGGCUACCUCCGUACCAGCAGCCGCGGUAAUCCGUAGGUGGCAAGCGUUGUCCGGAAUUACUGGGGGUAAAGGGAUCGCAGGCGGUAAGCCAAGUCAGCUGUGAAACCUACGGGCUUAACUUGUAGACUGCAGUUGAAACUGGGUUUCUUGAGUGAAGUAGAGGGUGGCGGAAUUCCGAGUGUAGCGGUGAAAUGCGUAGAUAUGUGGAGGAAUACCGAGGGCGAAGGCGGCCAACUGGGCUUGAACUGACGCUGAUGUUCGAAAGUGUGGGGAGCAAACAGGAUUAGAUACCCCUGUAGUC
rnacentral:rRNA from 1 species